CCUACGGGGUGCAGCAGUGGGGAAUAUUGCACAAUGGGGGAAACCCUGAUGCAGCAACGCCGCGUGGAGGAUGACACAUUUCGGUGCGUAAACUCCUUUUAUAUAGGAAGAUAAUGACGGUACUAUAUGAAUAAGCGCCGGCUAACUCCGUGCCAGCAGCCGCGGUAAUACGGAGGGCGCAAGCGUUACUCGGAAUCACUGGGCGUAAAGAGCGUGUAGGCGGAUAAAUAAGUUUGAAGUGAAAUCCUGUGGCUUAACCAUAGAACUGCUUUGAAAACUGUUUAUCUAGAAUAUGGGAGAGGUAGAUGGAAUUUCUGGUGUAGGGGUAAAAUCCGUAGAGAUCAGAAGGAAUACCGAUUGCGAAGGCGAUCUACUGGAACAUUAUUGACGCUGAGACGCGAAAGCGUGGGGAGCAAACAGGAUUAGAUACCCGAGUAGUC
rnacentral:rRNA from 1 species